AGUAAGCAGUGUCGGCACUGUACCCCUCUCCUUCCCCACCGUGGGAAAAACUGGAAUCCCUCGUGACAUCGUAUAAAUCGCUAUUAUGAUCUGGACUGGAGGUGUGUAGCCUAAUGCUGCUUCAUCUAAGAAAAUGGACUGAGUUUAUGUAGUGUAGGCUAUUUAUUAUGCAGUAGUAACUGAGUAAGCUACCUGUUAUGUAGGCCUACAGUAGUUAGCUAAUAGGAAAUCCGAAACUGACGAAAAAUAUUUGGAUGAAACGUCAUGUUGUCUGAUGAUCAUGGAGAGCGUAAUCCCGCACGUCCGCUACCGACAACAAAUCUAUUUCUUACUUCGAUUUGUGCAUGCGUCUUUUGGAGAAGUUUCCACUUAAACAGGUGUGGCUGAUGAUGCCGAGAAAGGGCAGGGACCUUCAAAAGACCCCUCUGCAGAAUCGCAGGAGAGAAAAGAGAAGGGCACGUAAUGGGAAACCCUGACACCUAGUGGCCAGAAGACUGCUAUGUUCCAUUUUCUUGUGACUGUUGGUCUUAACGUCCCAGUUUCGGGAACAUAAGCGCACAUAUCAAACAUGCAGGCUCCUUUUGGGGAACUCCCUUUUGUAACUGUAGGCAGAGGAAGGACCCUUGCAUUAUCUGUGUGGGUCCCAAAGCUCACUGUAACUGACUGUGCCUCCGUUUUCAGUAACGGUUGAGGGAUUUUGGUAUCCUCGUCAGGUCUAUGAUUAAAGUGACAUGUUACGUCAUCUUAGUUGAUGAUAUAGGAGCCAUCAAUGUAGAGGUUUAGUAAUAAUCGUUCCUUUGGCCACAGUGGGUAUCCAGGGUUUUAGGGUCGAUUGGGGUUUCUGCUGAUAGAGAAGGAAUAUGAUGAAUUCUGUUAUGGAAAGGACAAGCCGACAGGGGCUGUUUUUUAAUCAAAAUAUGUCCAUAAACUGAAAACAUCCUCACUCUCUUCCAACUUCUGAGGCUUAGCCUAUGGAUGUAAAUGUGCCCUGUUUUUUGUGAUAUUUAGUUGAGGUUGGGUGGGGGAAGAGGCACAUUUUAGAAACUUUUCUUUCAGGAUAACUUCCAGUCAGAACUACUGAAAAUUUCAACAGAAACUGCUUCCAAUUAUAUUUGUAUACACCAUAUUGCACUUUUUUUUAAACCCUGCAUUUGUAAAACAAAUAUAAAUGACUGUUGUAUUUUAUAUGGAACAUUUGCAUUACUGUCGAUGAUAAUGUGUUGCCCUCUUUUGUUGAGGCUGCCACAGUAUUUAUGGUAUAUCUAAUAAUGUAAGAGAAGAGUAAAACAUGGUGUCUUUGCUAUCUUCUGAACUUAGCUAACACUAUCCAGAAGAAACUCUGUUAGUGGUUUGCUUACUUUGCUUGACAAUGCCAUAGCAUCGUUGAUGCACCAAAAGAAGCAUGUAGUAUUAAAGAAUAUCAUGAAUA